UACAGGAGGGGCAAGCGUUGUUCGGAAUUACUGGGCGUAAAGGGCGCGUAGGCGGCCCGCUAAGCUCGAACGUGAAAUCCCCGAGCUCAACUCGGGAACUGCGUCCGAUACUGGCGGGCUUGAAUCCGGGAGAGGGAUGCGGAAUUCCAGGUGUAGCGGUGAAAUGCGUAGAUAUCUGGAGGAACACCGGUGGCGAAGGCGGCAUCCUGGACCGGCAUUGACGCUGAGGCGCGAAAGCUAGGGGAGCAAACGGG
rnacentral:rRNA from 1 species